rnacentral:rRNA from 1 species
UACGGAGGGGGCUAGCGUUGUUCGGAAUUACUGGGCGUAAAGCGCACGUAGGCGGCUUUGCAAGUUAGAGGUGAAAGCCCAGGGCUCAACCCUGGAAUUGCCUUUAAAACUGCAUCGCUAGAAUUGUGGAGAGGUAAGUGGAAUUCCGAGUGUAGAGGUGAAAUUCGUAGAUAUUCGGAAGGACACCAGUGGCGAAGGCGACUUACUGGACACAUAUUGACGCUGAGGUGCGAAAGCGUGGGGAGCAAACAGG